AUGGAGAGGAAGUCCACCAUUCUCAUGAACCGGUACGAGCUUGGUCGUAUGCUCGGGCAAGGCACCUUCGCCAAGGUGUACCAUGCGCGGAGCCUUGCGACCAACCAGAGCGUCGCCAUCAAGGUCAUUGACAAGGACAAGGUGUUGCGUGUCGGCAUGAUUGACCAGAUCAAGCGGGAGAUCUCCAUCAUGCGCCUGGUUCGUCACCCAUACAUCGUCCAGCUGCACGAGGUCAUGGCCAGCAAGAGCAAGAUAUACUUUGCGAUGGAGUAUGUCCGGGGCGGCGAGCUCUUUGCCAGGGUAGCCAAGGGCCGGCUCAAGGAAGAUGCUGCAAGGAAGUACUUUCAACAGUUGAUAGGGGCUGUGGACUUCUGCCACAGCCGUGAUGUCUAUCACCGGGACCUCAAGCCGGAGAACCUCCUCGUGGAUGAGCAUGGAAACCUCAAGGUGUCCGACUUCGGGUUGAGUGCCCUCAAGGAGUGUCAGAAGCAAGACGGGCUGCUGCACACAACGUGCGGCACACCUGCAUAUGUUGCGCCGGAGAUAAUCAACAAGAAGGGCUAUGAUGGAGAAAAGGCAGACAUAUGGUCUUGUGGCGUCAUACUUUUUGUUCUGCUUGCUGGUUACCUCCCAUUCCAAGACUCAAAUUUGAUGGAGAUGUACCGGAAGAUCAGCAAAGGUGAUGUCAGGCAUCCACAGUGGUUCAGUUCUGAUGCCCGGAAGAUUCUAUCCAGGCUGCUCGACCCAAAUCCAAACACUAGGAUCACCAUGGACAAGCUGAUUGAGCACCCGUGGUUCAAGAAAGGGUACAAACCAGCAGUGAUGCUGGGAACACCAACACCACGUGCCUCAAAGGAUCUUAAUGAUGUCCAGGCUGCUUUCAGCACUGACCACAAGGAUGGUGAAGGCAAAAGGGCAGAACAACCAAAUGGCGCACUGAAGCCAGCGAGCUUGAAUGCGUUUGACAUAAUCUCCCUCUCCAAAGGAUUCGAUCUUUCUGGCCUAUUUGAGAAGGACCAAGAGCAGAAGUCGAACUCGCGGUUCAUGACCCAAAAACCCGCAUCAGCAAUAGUGUCAAAGCUGGAGCAAAUAGCCGAGACAGAAUCCUUCAAGGUGAAGAAGCAGGACGGACUGGUGACGCUGCAGGGAUCCAAAGAAGGGAGGAAGGGGCAGCUUGCGAUUGAUGCGGAGAUCUUUGAAGUGACUCCAUCCUUCUAUGUUGUUGAGGUGAAGAAGUCGGCAGGAGACACAUUGGAGUACGAACGGUUCUGCAAAAUGGGCCUACGGCCUUCUCUCAAGGACAUCUGCUGGAACGGUCCGUCAGAGGAAAAGCUUCCAUCAGUAUCGGAGUCAGUACCUCCAACUCCGUCCUCCAAGUCGACCAAAAGAAAUGUCAUUUAA
rnacentral:rRNA from 1 species